rnacentral:rRNA from 1 species
AACGGUAUACAGCUCUUCGUGUAUUGUAGAGAGUGGCGAACGGGUGCAGNUAACACGUAGGUAAUCNUGCCUUUUGGGCGGGGGAUAGUUUAUGGAAACAUAGAGUAAUACCGCAUAAGGUUUAAUCACGUCUGUGGUUAAAUGAAAGGUCCAAUUGGAUCGCCUGGAGAUGAGCCUGCGGCUCAUUAGCUAGUUGGUGGGGUAAAGGCCUACCAAGGCGACGAUGAGUAGCCGGCCUGAGAGGGUGAACGGCCACACUGGGACUGAGACACGGCCCAGACUCCUACGGGAGGCAGCAGCUAAGAAUCUUCCGCAAUGGGCGAAAGCCUGACGGAGCGACGCCGCGUGAACGAAGAAGGCCUAACGGUUGUAAAGUUCUUUUCUUGGGGAAGAAUAAUGAGUGGAGUGGAAAGCCAUUCAGAUGACAUUAACCUUGGAAUAAGCCCCGGCCAAUUACGUGCCAGCAGCCGCGGUAAUACGUAAGGGGCAAGCGUUGUUCGGAAUUAUUGGGCGUAAAGGGCGUGUAGGCGGUUUUAUAAGCCANAUGUGAAAAAUCCCGGCUCAACUGGGGGAGCGCGUCUGGAACUGUAAGACUAGAGUUUCAGGAAGGGAAGCUGGA